AGUGAACGCUGGCGGCGUGCUUAAUACAUGCAAGUCGAACGAGAACGGGUUAUAGCUUGCUAUAAUUGUCAGCUAAGUGGCGCACGGGUGAGUAAUGUAUAGGUAAUAUGCCUCUUACUAAGGGAUAACAACUGGAAACGUUUGCUAAUACCUUAUACUCCUUAUUAACAGAAGUUAAUAAGGGAAAGACUUAUUGGUACUAGAUUAGCCUGUAUUGUAUCAGUUAGUUGGUGGGGUAAUGGCUUACCAAGACUAUGACACAUAACUGGUUUGAGAGGAUGAUCAGUCACACUGGAACUGAGACACGGUCCAGACUCCUACGGGAGGCAGCAGUGGGGAAUAUUGCACAAUGGACGAAAGUCUGAUGCAGCAACGCCGCGUGGAGGAUGACACAUUUCGGUGCGUAAACUCCUUUUAUAUGAGAAGAUAAUGACGGUAUUAUAUGAAUAAGCACCGGCUAACUCCGUGCCAGCAGCCGCCGCCG
rnacentral:rRNA from 1 species